rnacentral:lncRNA from 1 species
GCGAGCUCGCCGUCACAAGCCUCUAACGACGAUGAAGACAGCAAGUAUGAGCGAUACCGAUCUAUGGAUGUCUCUGUCUACCUAUUUACGUCAUCUUGUGAAUAGUUGAUCACCCUCUUUUUCUCUUUAGAUGGGUUCACUAUUCAAUUGUUUCAUAACAUACAAUUCUUCUAUUAGCAUUAUUAUUUAUGAUUCUCAUUGCACUGUUUUCUAAUGCUGGGCAAAUUGUAAACUAUUAUAUAUAUAUAUAUAUAUAUAUAUAUAUAUAUGGACGUACGGUCAAUGGAGGAUUGGAAAACGAGGUAAUAAGAGAUGACAAAGAAGGGAUUUCGGUGAAGCGUGAUCGUCACGAUUAUUAUUAUGAUGAUGAUGAUGAUGGAAAGGAAAUUGAGGUUAAUGCGACGAUAAUAUAUCUAUUUUUUUUUUUUUUUUUUCUCUAUAUGCGACACUUGCUCGCAACAUUUAUUACUGUUGAAUUCAUAUACAUACAGAUAUAUAUAUACACACACAUGGAUUAUCUUCGUAUAUUUUUUGUUAAAUUAGUUGAUAGUCUCUCUUUUGAUAAAUAGUAAACACAUAUAAUACGACAGGGAUAUGAUGACGGAGGAAUUACUCUACGAAAAAUCUCUGAAGCAAUUCUUCAGAUGGACAUGGAAGAGCUGGAACGACGAUGAACUUGACCGGCAUUAGAAUGUUUUUAUUUUGCAGGGCCGUCCGGAUGUCGGAUUUUGCAGCAUUUCGAGCAUUUACGAUUCGUAUGACCGUAUUUUUUUUAAAAAAACACAAAUUGCAUUACAUCUAUGCUGCGAAAUGCGACAAUGGACUCGGUUCGAGGUCAUGGCGCCGAAAGGCUGAUUGGGACAUGAUUGGAUCAGGAUUUGAUGGUUCGCAGAGAGUCGUUCGGAUGUCAAAAGCCUUAUGGGACGCCGCAAGUGUUCAACGUCUACUAGCUUGACUUCGGCGUGGGGUGCGACUUGUCUUGACGAAGCUGUUUGUGAACUUGGCCUUGAAGUCGCAUAGCUUUGAUCCACCGCUGAGCUCCCUGAAAAGGACAACCGUUGACAGCUCUCUAGUUUUGAUGGUUUCGGUUUGUUGGCCCGCCGUUGUGAGAAUCCAAACGAACCAAAUACCUCAGCUAACUGCUCUAUAUAGAGAGUUGGCCAAUGGUACAACAUCUGUACCUGUGACCAGACCUGGUCUUUCGACACGAUAUACACAUCAUACAAUAUGAGAAAAAAAUAAAUUAUUAAGUUAAAUCAAUGAAAUGAUAUGACAUGAGAUUGACUGCUACGCGCUAAAGAUGAAAUUUGUUACAUUACUAAGUAAUGUAAGUAUAAUAACUUGUAAUUCCAUUUCGAGCAUCUUUGUCGCGUUCACGUAUUGUACUGCCACUUUUAUUGUCCAGUCAUUUGUUUAUGUACAAUAAACACUUAAUAUUAUUAUAGAUCCAUUAGUCCCUCGUUUUCUCGCGGUGAUACGUUCGAUUAAGGUAUGAACAUGGGCGGCACAAGACAGGUGAACAGCAAUAGCAAAUCAAUACAUUGCUAAAGAAUAAUUAGUUACUUUGUAUUAUAAAUACAACGUUACAAUGAGGGCAUGACCACGAUCACCGUCACUUCUACUUACCAACAGUCAUAACGUCAGCUACUAAACAUAUAUAACUAACUAUAACUGUAAAGCGAGACGGACAACAAAAACGUAUCUCACUCACCUCUUCCUGCUAAUCGCGGUAGGUUAUAUAUAUAUAUAUAUAUAUAUAUAUAUAUAUAUACAUACACACGUAUUUUUUGGAUAACAUUACUGUUGUGAAGACAAAUGAGGAUAAAAAUGAUGAGUACGGAAACGAUUUUUCGUGCGAUUUCUUUUGAACAUAAAUGUGUGCGUGUAAUUAUCAUACAAGAUGAGUACAUGAAGUACAUGCCGAUGGCACAAUCAUAAGAAUAUGUAGAUCUAUGAUGAAUUAUUAUUAUUAUUGAGCAAAUUCAGAAAAAAUCACUUAUAAUGACAACAACGCCUGGCAUGUAGCGGACGCCCCCGUGGAAUAACAGGAAAACAAGAAAGAGAUCAUUCUGUAUGAGCGUGCGUGCGUGCGUGCGCGCGUGCCUGCCUGCCAGUCAGGCAUUUCUCGAGUGUCGAGAUGGACAGGUGCGCAGAGAUGGCAAAGUGAACGAAUGAUAUAAUAAAUUUAUACACAUAUAUGUAUGUGAUUUGCGUGCACGAGGUUUACGACAGUUCAUGCUGUCCCUAUUGUUGCUGCUGUCCCAUUGCUUUCAGCGAUUCUCGAUUCGUGUUUCAAUUGUCCACUACUUACCGAUCGUCGCCUGUAGGUCCAUGUGUACUAAAUAUGUGUCAGUUUUAUCGAAGUUGGACUACUUCGAAAUUCUCAGACAAUUUGCUCGCGUAGAGUGGCUGCGUUUGCGGUUGUGAUUGUGUUUUAGGAUCCUGUCUGCUCCACGGUGGUAAUCAGGUAAACGUAAGUAGACGAGGCAUAAGAGCAGUAGUGGAAGUAUUGGAUUUACACUCAGAAAAAAAAAAAUUAAAUAAACUGGUAUCGACUAAACAAACGCUUGAUUGCAUGCUUGCUUGAUUGGCUGAUUGACGACAGGAACGAAUGCAGUCAUUGUACGGUACAUGGAAGAGACCUUACUGAAAGUGCAGUUGAAGACGCUUCCAAUAUAAGUAAGUGAUAUAGAACAACAUAAGUGAGUAUCAAUGCGGCCUCGUGGCGGGCAGAGCAACGUGUGAAAAAUCGUGAGCCGAACUUCAGAGAUCCGAGAUCAUAGUGCAGGCCAAGCAACGGUAUAACAACGUCUGGGCGCGAAAAGAAACAGGAUAAGCAAGAAGAUCGAAUCUGGAUGUCUCGUGUGAAAAGCGUGCUAUAGCAAGUAAAAAAAAAAAUAGAAUUAACGUUCUACUACAAUGAAGGGCAGAGUUGGAACGGCACGAUAAGGCUACAGAAACAAUUUUAGGACAAAUCGGGAAAACGAAGAUAAAAUAGGCAAUUUAAAUAACUACUCCUCAACUAAAUGUCGACGACUAAUUGAUGAGAAGAAGAAGAAGAAGAAUAAUAAACGGAUAGUGACACGUAUGCGGUUGCAAAUUAUAGGGGAAAGCGAGUUUAAAAUAUGACUACGGUUUAAUAACAGAGGAUAAUUAGAAUAGGAAUAAUUAUGCGAACAACGACAAGAUGAUGAUCAAGUUGAACACGAAAAAGGUGUCAAUAACUGGGAGUGGAGGGCGAUCACUUGUAUGUAAGGCGUGUGAAUAACAUAAAAGCCCCAGGAAGAAUAACAAUAAUAACAAAAAUAGACACAGCACCUUAGAGGCGAGUCCCGGCCGCAGACGCAAUGUCCCAUGUUCUACCCUGUGAAGCGGUAUGCUCGUCUCGAUGACGAAUACAGAAAACAAUGACAAAUAUGACCAUUGGUGACGAUGACACAGAAGAAUAGAUAUGGAAACGUAGUUAUAAUACAAUAGAAGCGGUUGGUGUCUACCGCUUCAACCCCAACAUGGGGACUGGUCGCGUGCUCCUCCCGAUCAUAUGUCUAGGCGAGAGUAAAUAACAAAAAAACAGGUGGCACAUCGAUCCGUACGUAGUUCGUUGACAAAGCCCGCCUAUGAUUAUGACAGUAAUGCGGAAGCGGGCGUUAGCCGUUUGGCUUAAUGUUGGCCGUAUACAUACACUUAAAGGAUUGGAAAAUACUGAUGGCGCCGAUGAUUAUCAUUAUUAUUAUUAUUCGAAAUGGUAAAAUGAUUGUGAAAAGAGCGGAAGGCCAGAUGUCGAGAAAACGGGGAAGAAACAGAACGUGAGGUAAUUGAGAUAAUAAUGGUAUGUAAUGAUAACGAACUGAUAACGUGCUGAUGAUACCGAUGAUGAUGAUCCUAAUGAAGGGCGAUGAAUGAUGAAAGCGCUAAUAUAAAUAAAGUCACCUAGUUUGGUACUACUCA